rnacentral:rRNA from 1 species
CCUACGGGUGGCAGCAGUGGGGAAUAUUGCGCAAUGGGCGAAAGCCUGACGCAGCGACGCCGCGUGAGGGAAGAAGGUCUUCGGAUCGUAAAGCUCUGUCAGCAGGGAAGAACGGGCACUGUGCUAAUCAGCAGGGAAUUGACGGUACCUGCAAAGGAAGCACCGGCUAACUCCGUGCCAGCAGCCGCGGUAAUACGGAGGGUGCGAGCGUUAAUCGGAAUUACUGGGCGUAAAGCGCUCGUAGGCGGUAUGUCAAGUCAAGGGUGAAAUCCCCGGGCUCAACGUGGGAACUGCCUUUGAAACUGGCAGACUGGAGUGUGUGAGAGGGUAGUAGAAUUCCAGGUGUAGGAGUGAAAUGCGUAGAGAUCUGGAGGAACAUCGGUGGCGAAGGCGACUAUCUGGCACAUGACUGACGCUGAGGUGCGAAAGCGUGGGUAGCAAACAGGAUUAGAUACCCCUGUAGUC